GUGCCAGCAGCCGCGGUAAUACAGGGGGUGCAAACGUUGCUCGGAAUUAUUGGGCGUAAAGCGCGCGUAGGCGGCCACUUAAGUCGGAUGUGAAAGCCCCUGGCUCAACUGGGGAAGUGCACCCGAAACUGAAUGGCUUGAGUGCGAAAGAGGGUCGCGGAAUUCCCGGUGUAGAGGUGAAAUUCGUAGAUAUCGGGAGGAACACCGGUGGCGAAGGCGGCGACCUGGGUCGACACUGACGCUGAGGCGCGAAAGCGUGGGGAGCAAACAGGAUUAGAUACCCCCGUAGUCC
rnacentral:rRNA from 1 species